UACGGGGGGGGCAAGCGUUGUUCGGAAUUACUGGGCGUAAAGGGCUCGUAGGCGGUUUGUCACGUCGGGAGUGAAAACUCAGGGCUUAACCCUGAGCCUGCUUCCGAUACGGGCAGACUAGAGGUAUGCAGGGGAGAACGGAAUUCCUGGUGUAGCGGUGAAAUGCGCAGAUAUCAGGAGGAACACCGGUGGCGAAGGCGGUUCUCUGGGCAUUACCUGACGCUGAGGAGCGAAAGUGUGGGGAGCGAACAGG
rnacentral:rRNA from 1 species